GUGCGGGCUUAUAGCGCCGUAUACUUGUGUAAUCGAAUUAGCGUUUAAGCGAUCUGUAAGAUCGUCGACCACAAGGGGGAUAGCCGCCAUCUGGCGGCUAUUUCUUUA
rnacentral:sRNA from 1 species